rnacentral:rRNA from 1 species
GAUGAACGCUGGCGGCGUGCCUAAUACAUGCAAGUCGAGCGAACAGACGAGGAGCUUGCUCCUCUGACGUUAGCGGCGGACGGGUGAGUAACACGUGGAUAACCUACCUAUAAGACUGGGAUAACUUCGGGAAGCCGGAGCUAAUACCGGAUAAUAUAUUGAACCGCAAGGUUCAAUAGUGAAAGACGGUUUUGCUGUCACUUAUAGAUGGAUCCGCGCCGCAUUAGCUAGUUGGUAAGGUAACGGCUUACCAAGGCGACGAUGCGUAGCCGACCUGAGAGGGUGAUCGGCCACACUGGAACUGAGACACGGUCCAGACUCCUACGGGAGGCAGCAGUAGGGAAUCUUCCGCAAUGGGCGAAAGCCUGACGGAGCAACGCCGCGUGAGUGAUGAAGGUCUUCGGAUCGUAAAACUCUGUUAUUAGGGAAGAACAAAUGUGUAAGUAACUAUGCACGUCUUGACGGUACCUAAUCAGAAAGCCACGGCUAACUACGUG